CAAAUUAUUAGGCUGCCAUUUUACCAUGGAUUAAAUGUCAUUAUUCGGAUAAAGUGUGGAUAGAUUAUUAGGAAUCCAGUGCGUUAAUUUUUCGGAAUUAUAUAAUGGCAUAAUUAUCAUUGAUUUUUGUGUUUAUUAUAAGCACUGGUAUGAUUACCAAUGCGAAGGAUUCAGGAUACUUUCGGGACCGUUCUUGAACCACGGACCAAGGAGUUUACCAUAUGUCCAAGUUAUUGGGAUAUAACCUUAAUAGGGUAAUUAACUUGAUUAAUAAUGGGAUUAGUUUUUUAAUUAUUUUAUAGCUAAUUACCCCAAUCCCGGGGCGUUCUAUAUAGUUAUGUAUAAUAAUAUUUAUAUUAUUUAUGCCUCUAACUGGAACGUACCUUGAGCAGAUAUGCUGUGACCCGAAAGAUGGUGAACUAUACUUGAUCAGGUUGAAGUCAGGGGAAACCCUGAUGGAAGACCGAAACAGUUCUGACGUGCAAAUCGAUUGUCAGAAUUGAGUAUAGGGGCGAAAGACCAAUCGAACCAUCUAGUAGCUGGUUCCUUCCGAAGUUUCCCUCAGAUAGCUGGUGCAUUUUAAUGUUAUAUAAAAUAAUCUUAUCUGGUAAAGCGAAUGAUUAGAGGCCUUAGGGUCGAAACGAUCUUAACCUAUUCUCAAACUUUAAAUGGGUAAGAACCUUAACUUUCUUGAUAUGAAGUUUAAGGUUAUGAUAUAUUGUGCCCAGUGGGCCACUUUUGGUAAGCAGAACUGGCGCUGUGGGAUGAACCAAACGUAAUGUUACGGUGCCCAAAUUAACAACUCCAUGCAGAAAACCAUGAAAAGGCCGUUUGGUUGCCUUAAAAACCAGCCAGGGACGCGUGAUCCAUUGGGAAAGUCCGAAAAUCCCGCCUCAAGGGAAGCUGCUGUUAAACAAACCUUCAACUCUUGCUCGGAAAGUCAAACCUAGGCCCCCUCUAAAAAAAUGGUAAUUGGGGCCCGCCCUUUAAAGGUUUGCUCACUACCCUCAACUAACCAAUUUUAACCCC
rnacentral:ncRNA from 1 species